UGCCUACGAUGUUCAGGGUGCCGGGAAUACAAAAGGCAAAGACUUGACUUCUGCCCUCAGGGUGCUUGAAAGCUGAACGGAGACACUGAGGACGAGAGUGUGACAUGAAAAGGAACAGGCCGGGGAGUAAAUGUGGACACAAAGGGUCAUCAGAACUUCAGUGGCCCGCUCUGUGCUUGGCCUCCUCACACCUUGGCCUUCCCUUCUUGGUCCUUUUCAUGGCCCUUCCUCCUCCUGAGUCGCUGAUGUUCUCCAAGCUCCAUCACUGGCCUCUUCCCAUCCUGCCCCACGCAGCCAUCCCGCACGGACUCACCUCCUCUUUCCAUAGAAUCAGCCGCCACCUCCCAGUGGUUCUCAACAGGGUACGAGGGGAGGGAGGAGAAGCCGAGGGGAAUCACCUAGAAUCAUUUGGUGAGAAGGGCGUUCCCGCCGGUGACACCACCAUUCGCUCGCUCAGUCCUCCCAAGAAAGAAACUUGAGGUCAUCCGUGAAAGUUACCUUGCCGUCCUGCUGGGAGUCGAGCGACCUCCGAGCCCUGAAAAUGUUACCUCCCGAGUAUCAUUCCAACUCGUCACCUCCUCUCCGUUCUUACUCCGAUCCCCCAGUUCAGGGACUGAAGACAACGGUAUCUGGGGAGGGCCGUGUGGUUGGUCCACUUAGGCUGAGUUCAAGUGGCAUGAGUAGAUUUACCAGAAGGCCGCCCCCCUGCAGAAGAGGCUCUUUAUAACCCCACAGACGGGGGGACCCCUGGGCCGACGGGGGCUCAUGAAACAAAGCAGCCAGAGAGGCAGGAAUAGAGAGGCUGUGUUGCACGUGCCGGGGCUCUGGAAGAUGCUAACAUCAGGCGAAGCUGGGGGAGGGGGACACGGGAACCUUCUGUACCAUCUGUGCCAGUGUUCUGUAAAUCUCAGGCAAGGGGCGAACGCUCUCAGGA